rnacentral:rRNA from 1 species
GACGAACGCUGGCGGCGUGCUUAACACAUGCAAGUCGAGCGGAGAGGCGAACGGGUGAGUAACGCGUGAAUAACUGGCCCCCUCUCUGUGAUAAAGGAUGGCAACGGUUGCCAAUACCGGAUAGUGUGGGAUGGCUGGCGUCCUAUCAGCUUGUUGGUGGGGUAGUGGCCUACCAAGGCGACGACGAGUACCCGGCCUGCGAGGUCGACCGGCCACAUUGGGCUGAGAGACGGCCCAAACGCCUACGGGAGGCAGCAGUGGGGAAUAUUGCACAAUGGGGGAAACCCUGAUGCAGCAACGCGCGUGCGGUAUGACGGCCUUCGGGUUGUAAACCGCUUUCAGCCAUGACGCGGUAGUGGCAGAAGAAGCACCGGCUAACUACGUGCCAGCAGCCGCGGUAAUUC